rnacentral:rRNA from 1 species
AGUAGCAAUACUUUUGGUGGCGACCGGCGCACGGGUGAGUAACACGUAUGCAACCUACCUGUAAGCGGGGAAUAACCCGGAGAAAUUCGGACUAACACCGCAUAAUACUGUUGAACCGCAUGGUUUAACAGUUAAAUAUUCAUAGCUUACAGAUGGGCAUGCGUAUGAUUAGCUAGUUGGUGGGGUAACGGCUCACCAAGGCAACGAUCAUUAGGGGUUCUGAGAGGAAGGUCCCCCACAUUGGAACUGAGACACGGUCCAAACUCCUACGGGAGGCAGCAGUGAGGAAUAUUGGUCAAUGGGCGAGAGCCUGAACCAGCCAAGUCGCGUGAAGGAAGAAGGUUCUAUGGAUUGUAAACUUCUUUUGUAAGGGAAUAAAGUGCAGCACGUGUGCUGUUUUGUAUGUACUUUACGAAUAAGGAUCGGCUAACUCCGUGCCAGCAGCCGCGGUAAUACGGAGGAUCCGAGCGUUAUCCGGAUUUAUUGGGUUUAAAGGGUGCGUAGGCGGACCCGUAAGUCAGUGGUGAAAGUUUGCAGCUCAACUGUAAAAUUGCCAUUGAAACUGAGGGUCUUGAGUGUAAAUGAGGUAGGCGGAAUGUGUUGUGUAGCGGUGAAAUGCUUAGAUAUAACACAGAACACCAAUUGCGAAGGCAGCUUACUAGGAUACAACUGACGCUCAGGCACGAAAGCGUGGGGAUCAAACAGGAUUAGAUACCCUGGUAGUCCACGCAGUAAACGAUGAAUACUAGCUGUAUGCGAUAUACUGUAUGUGGCAAAGCGAAAGCGUUAAGUAUUCCACC